UACGUAGGGCGCAAGCGUUAUCCGGAAUUAUUGGGCGUAAAGAGCUCGUAGGCGGUUUGUCGCGUCUGCCGUGAAAGUCCGGGGCUCAACUCCGGAUCUGCGGUGGGUACGGGCAGACUAGAGUGCAGUAGGGGAGACUGGAAUUCCUGGUGUAGCGGUGAAAUGCGCAGAUAUCAGGAGGAACACCGAUGGCGAAGGCAGGUCUCUGGGCUGUAACUGACGCUGAGGAGCGAAAGCAUGGGGAGCGAACGG
rnacentral:rRNA from 1 species